GGGAAUAUACUGGGUAGUUGUUGUUGUUGUUGUCUUUACAUAGGCAUUCACAUAACAUAGCAGUUUCACAAUAUUUCACUUUUCUUUUUACUGUUUGUCUCUGGCUUGACAGCGAAUGAUUGAGUUGACACACGACUCUUAGUAUUAUUAGGUAAUUUAUGAUUAUCGUGUUUUAGGUUUGGAUGUAAGCAUUUCAAACACAAUGGUGGGAGAGGAAAACAACAAAAUCACUAUAUCCUGUGCAUGGUU
rnacentral:lncRNA from 1 species